UACGGGGGGGGCAAGCGUUGUUCGGAAUUACUGGGCGUAAAGGGCUCGUAGGCGGUUUGUCGCGUCGGGAGUGAAAUCCACUGGCUUAACUGGUGGCUUGCUUUCGAUACGGGCAGACUGGAGGUAUGCAGGGGAGAACGGAAUUCCUGGUGUAGCGGUGAAAUGCGCAGAUAUCAGGAGGAACACCGGUGGCGAAGGCGGUUCUCUGGGCCAUUACUGACGCUGAGGAGCGAAAGCGUGGGGAGCGAACAGG
rnacentral:rRNA from 1 species